rnacentral:rRNA from 1 species
GGGAGACACGUGGCAGCGGGCGGGGUUAGGGGGUGGGGGGCGGCGUUGUUCUGAAGUACGGGGGGUAAAGGGGUAGUAGGCGGUGUGGCAAGUCGGGAGUGAAAUCGCUGGGCUCAACUCAGAGGCUGCUUCCGAAACUGCUGUGCUGGAGUGUGGGAGAGGCGCGUGGAAUUGCAGGUGUAGCGGUGAAAUGCGUAGAUAUCUGCAGGAACACCCGUGGCGAAAGCGGCGCGCUGGACCACUACUGACGCUGAGGAACGAAAGCUAGGGGAGCAAACAGGAUUAGAUACCCCAGUAGUC